CAUUUAUUUGUGUGAUGAGCACAGAUAUUUGUUCCUGAGUCAUGGUCCUUAUUUAUCCCCCUUAUUCAUAAAACUUUACGAGCCUGAAUUAGUUUAAUGAUGUUUUAUCCCUUUCUUACAAAUACAUAAGUCAAAGUGACAGAUAAAGACAAACGAUUCAUAGCUAAUUCAGGCUUGUAAUGCGUUGAUGAAUAACGCCAUAAG